rnacentral:lncRNA from 10 species
GCUCAUUUUUCGUUUUCCGUCAGAGGCCGACCUUUUUCUCUGGAACGCACAAGCCAGGUCCAAAAGUUCCUUCAGGGCCUCCAGGAACCACUAACCAACGUCCCUGUUGACCUCAGUUUCUCGCCUGUGAAAUAAAUUGGAACUGGAAGUUCUGGAGGCUGCCUCGGCUCUAAAAAAGCCCAUUUCUGGAUGUCGGACGUUUAUCCUCAGUCUCUUGCAAUUUCCUUUGAGAACAGCCAGUUAAAAAGAAGUGAGUGGCAGGUAGGGCAACUUUUUUCAGAAAGUCAUAAAUAGUUCGAGUCCACUGCUUUCCUCAUCAAUAAAGAGGAUUCAGUUCAACCAGCUUUCAAUAUUUGUUUUUUUUUUCCAAAAAGAUCAUUACUAUUCAUCCAAAAAAAAAAAAGCUUGCCUUUCUUUGAUUUCAACCUAAUACUGUAGGCUCUAACUAAUCCUUUUCAAGGCUGAAUCACGCUACUUUUUGUUUCUUAAAAAGAUUUUGGCCAAAGAUGCUUUGAGAUUCUUCUUGUUUUAAACGGCUCAUCAGCUGAUGUCUUUAAAAUGUUUAAUUACAUAAGACCUUAAAAAACA